CCUACGGGAGGCAGCAGUGAGGAAUAUUGGUCAAUGGGCUUACGCCUGAACCAGCCAAGUCGCGUGAGGGAAGACUGCCCUAUGGGUUGUAAACCUCUUUUGUCAGGGAGCAAUUGGCGCUACGUGUAGCGUUAUCGAGAGUACCUGAAGAAAAAGCAUCGGCUAACUCCGUGCCAGCAGCCGCGGUAAUACGGAGGAUGCGAGCGUUAUCCGGAUUUAUUGGGUUUAAAGGGUGCGUAGGCGGAAUGCCAAGUCAGCGGUAAAAUCGCGGGGCUCAACCUCGCUCCGCCGUUGAAACUGGCGGUCUUGAGUGGGCGAGAGGGAUGCGGAAUGCGUGGUGUAGCGGUGAAAUGCAUAGAGAUCACGCAGAACUCCGAUUGCGAAGGCAGCAUACCGGCGCCCAACUGACGCUGAAGCUCGAAAGCGUGGGGAGCAAACAGGAUUAGAUACCCUGGUAGUC
rnacentral:rRNA from 1 species